rnacentral:rRNA from 1 species
AGCUCCAAUAGCGUAUAUUAAUGUUGUUGCAGUUAAAAAGCUCGUAGUUGGAUUUGUGGUUCGAUCCAGUGGCCUGGCCUAUGGGCUUUGGCUGUUUGGAUCGUCCAUCCUUGGGUGGAAUCUGUGUGGCAUUAGGUUGUCGCGCAGGGGAUGCCCAUCGUUUACUGUGAAAAAAUUAGAGUGUUCAAAGCAGGCUUAUGCCGUUGAAUAUAUUAGCAUGGAAUAAUGAUAUAGGACCUUGGUACUAUUUUGUUGGUUUGCGCACUGAGGUAAUGAUUAAUAGGGACAGUUGGGGGUAUUCGUAUUUCAUUGUCAGAGGUGAAAUUCUUGGAUUUUUGGAAGACGAACUACUGCGAAAGCAUUUACCAAGGAUGUUUUCA